CGGGACACGUGGUAUCCUGUCUGAAUAUGGGGGGACCAUCCUCCAAGGCUAAAUACUCCUGACUGACCGAUAGUGAACCAGUACCGUGAGGGAAAGGCGAAAAGAACCCCGGCGAGGGGAGUGAAAAAGAACCUGAAACCGUGUACGUACAAGCAGUGGGAGCACGCUUAGGCGUGUGACUGCGUACCUUUUGUAUAAUGGGUCAGCGACUUAUAUUCUGUAGCAAGGUUAACCGAAUAGGGGAGCCGAAGGGAAACCGAGUCUUAACUGGGCGUUAAGUUGCAGGGUAUAGACCCGAAACCCGGUGAUCUAGCCAUGGGCAGGUUGAAGGUUGGGUAACACUAACUGGAGGACCGAACCGACUAAUGUUGAAAAAUUAGCGGAUGACUUGUGGCUGGGGGUGAAAGGCCAAUCAAACCGGGAGAUAGCUGGUUCUCCCCGAAAGCUAUUUAGGUAGCGCCUCGUGAAUUCAUCUCCGGGGGUAGAGCACUGUUUCGGCAAGGGGGUCAUCCCGACUUACCAACCCGAUGCAAACUG
rnacentral:rRNA from 1 species